GCCCCAAAAUGGCGUGGAAUAGUGUAGAUAGUGCAAAAUUCAACUUCUUGCUGUAAGUACUAAGAAGAAUGCCAGCUUGUUACAUCGAGGGAUGCAAAAGCCGAAAUUAGGAAGGUAUCCGCUUAUUUCGCUUAUUUCGCAUAUCAGCAGGCGAAAAAAAUAAAGUACAACGCGAAAAAUGGAUCAGAUUGAUUGGAAGAAACACAUCUCUGCCAGAAAAUGUCAAAAUUUGCGAGCUACAUUUUGGUGCGGAUCAAUUCGAAAGAAAACUAGAAGAUGGAAAACGGCUGCUUCGUCCAUGUACGAAGCCAAACUUAUUAGAGAAACAUUUUGAGGACAUGAUAUCUAAUCAGGAAGGUACCAAUAAUAAUACAAAUAAAGCAAGAUGUAAAUAUGACAAUUCUAUAAUAAAUAUGGAAGAUAGUGUUUGUAAUAUUAUAGACACCGAUGUAACAACUGCAACACUGAUAUCAAACAGUUUUUAUGACAAAAAAUUCGAAGUAUUGAGAAAUACUACAUGUAAUAGUAAAGAUUAUGAAAACAAUAUUCAAUCUUUACAGAAGGCAUUAGAAAGUUCGUAGUAGGAAUGUAGACAUUUAAAACAGAACUUGCAGACACGAAAUACAAAUAUGGAAAAAGUAUUUAAUAAAGACCAAUUUUAUUUCUUUACAUGUAAUACACAAAGAGGAGCUGAAUGGUCUGAUGUUACACUAAAUAAAGCAUUAAAACUAUAUAUAGCUUGUGGGCAGAAGGGAUAUGAGAAAGUGUGCCGACAAAACCUACGAUAUCCAAGUAUUCGUACACUGCAACACCGUAUACAAGGCUUUAUAUUUAAGUCAGGUACAGACAUUUGAACCGGAGGAGAGGCAUGCAGUACUGUUGGUUGAUGAAAUGUUUAUAAAGCCAGGUUUGCCAGGGUUACGAUAAUUCCAAUGCGUCAAUUGUUGGUCGAUCCACAAUGAAACUAUCUGGUGAAAUUGAUAGUUCGAACAAGCAAGCUACACAUAGUCUUGUGUUCAUGCUAUGCGGUAUUUCCACUAAAUGGAAACAAACAAUUGCUUAUGAAUUUAUAGCAAAUUCAUUCUGUCCACACGAAAUGGUUAAGGAGAUUGAAACAAUUAUUCAAAAAGCACAUUUUAUUGGGUUAACCAUUAAAGCAGUAAUCUCCGACAUGAGUGCGCUAAACAGAAGUUGGUGGAAGAUUUUGAAUAUUACAGGUGGAAAGUGGACUACAGUUAAUAAUUACAUCCAACAUCCAUGUGAUAAGAAAGAGAAAUUAUAUAUCAUGCUAGAUUCUGUCCACGUCUUUAAAAAUGUUGCAUGCUCUUUAACAGCAGGAAACACUUUAUUUAAAUGCAACAUUAGUUCAACAAUACAAUUUACCGCACAAUGAAAUAACUAUUACUCCUAUUCGCGACGUAUAUAACUUUGAUCAAAACGAUACGUUAAAACUGUGUCCGCAUCUAAAACAAAAUGCUAUAUACUCAUCCCAUUUCGAUAAAAUGAAUGUGGCCUUAAGUGUAGGAAUAUUAAAUAAUAGUGUUACUGCAGCUAUAUCUUAUUAUAUAAACAAAGGUAACAUUAGAAAUAUACAUAGUACCACUGCCUGGUUUCUCACUACUAUGCAUAAGUGGUUUACACUUAUGUCGAGUCGCUAUCAAAAACUUGCACUAUCCCAUUAUAAUGGAAACAUAUACGACGAUAAUAUAACGUUCUUGAAAGAUUUUAUAAAAAUUAUUCGAGGAAUCACUGUUGGAAAUACACAGAAUGGAACAUGGAAACCUUUUCAAACCGGAUUAAUUCUUUGUACGCAGUUUGUUUUGGAUCUGCAAGCAGAAUAUUUAGAUCGGUAAUUUUAAAUAUUUAUUAUUGGGACAAUUUACGUAGGAUGCGUUGGAAAAUUUAUUUUCAGUCAUCCGAAGCAAAAAAGCUGGAACCCGAUGUGCGUGAAUUUAAACAGGCAUUACGACUGAUUUAUUUAUUGCAAUUUCAUACACACAUUAACCAUGGCAAUUACUCCAUUGAAGACUCCGACCAUCUUAUUCGAUAUUGUAAAGAAAUAAAAGAAGUUGAUUUUCAGCAUACGUCUGUUGAGGAACAGUAUCUCAAGAAUAUGGAAAAUGAUUUAUGGGGUAAAGAAAUAUUUAGAUCAUUAAGUGGAAACGAAUCUGGAUUAAACGAUGACACGCAAAGCUCAUUAUAUUACUUAAUAAGUGCUUUAUUAUCAAAAAUUAAAAAAACUUGUACGCAUUGCGAUCAUUGUUUUAAUGCACUUGCAAAUACUGCAGAUGAUUCGAAUAAUAAUCUAAGUACAUUCACUAAAUUAUGACAAUAUAAAGAAAAUAUAUUACUUUUUCCAACUAUGAAACUGUAUAAUACAAUGUAAGUGCGAAUUAUUAUGUCGAUCCAAUGAAAUGCAUUUAGUCUCAAAUAAUUUAAAUGUUACUGAGUUUAUAGACAAAUUGUUACACUUGUGUCCAAAAACUAUUCCGGAGUGUCAUAAUAUAUUUUAUAAACAUAUAAAAAAAUGUGUGAUAACAAGAAUUCACUUUUCAUUGA
rnacentral:lncRNA from 1 species